rnacentral:rRNA from 1 species
UACGGAGGGGGGCUAGCGUUGUUCGGAAUUACUGGGCGUAAAGCGCACGUAGGCGGCUUUGUAAGUUAGAGGUGAAAGCCCAGGGCUCAACCCUGGAAUUGCCUUUAAGACUGCAUCGCUUGAACAUCGGAGAGGUAAGUGGAAUUCCGAGUGUAGAGGUGAAAUUCGUAGAUAUUCGGAAGAACACCAGUGGCGAAGGCGACUUACUGGACCGAUUGUUGACGCUGAGGUGCGAAAAGCGUGGGGAGGCAAACAGG